AUUGAACGCUGGCGGCAGGCCUAACACAUGCAAGUCGAGCGGAUGAAGGGAGCUGGCUCCUGGAUUCAGCGGCGGACGGGUGAGUAAUGCCUAGGAAUCUGCCUGGUAGUGGGGGAUAACGUCCGGAAACGGGCGCUAAUACCGCAUACGUCCUGAGGGAGAAAGGGGGGGAUCUUCGGACCUCACGCUAUCAGAUGAGCCUAGGUCGGAUUAGCUAGUUGGUGGGGUAAAGGCCUACCAAGGCGACGAUCCGUAACUGGUCUGAGAGGAUGAUCAGUCACACUGGAACUGAGACACGGUCCAGACUCCUACGGGAGGCAGCAGUGGGGAAUAUUGGACAAUGGGCGAAAGCCUGAUCCAGCCAUGCCGCGUGUGUGAAGAAGGUCUUCGGAUUGUAAAGCACUUUAAGUUGGGAGGAAGGGCAGUAAGUUAAUACCUUGCUGUUUUGACGUUACCAACAGAAUAAGCACCGGCUAACUUCGUG
rnacentral:rRNA from 1 species